UUACGGCCAUAUCCCGUUGAAACAUCGAUUCUCAUACGAUCAUCAAAGUUAAGCAACGUUGAGCCUGGUCAGUACGUAGAUGGGUGACCACUUCGGAAUACCAGGUACUGUAA